UACGGAGGAUGCAAGCGGUUAUCCGGAAUUGAUUGGGCGUAAAGGCGUUUAAGGUGGUUUGGUAAGUCUACUGUUAAAUAUCAGGGCCUUAACCCUGAACAGGCAGUGGAAACUAGCAAGCUUGGAGUACGGUAGGGGCGAAAGGAAUUCCCGGUGUAGCGGUGAAAUGCGUAGAUAUUCGCAAGAACACCAGUGGCGAAGGCGGCUCACUGGCCCGAUACUGACGCUGAGGCACGAAAGCGUGGGGAGCAAACAGGAUUAGAUACCGU
rnacentral:rRNA from 1 species